AACGCACGAGACCUGCGGACCUGCGGAGGGAUCAUUAAUGAAUGACCUUAUGGGUCUUCAAUCUCUAAACCUGUGGAAGAUAAAUGUGGUUCGGCGUCCCGGCGCCGUAUUUAUGCUAUAACAAGUUUUGACGUCUGAAUGUAGAAAUAUAAUUUAAAACUUUCAACAACGGAUCUCU
rnacentral:misc_RNA from 1 species